ACUCCUGCGGGAGGCAGCAGUGGGGAAUAUUGGACAAUGGGCGCAAGCCUGAUCCAGCCAUGCCGCGUGAGUGAUGAAGGCCCUAGGGUUGUAAAGCUCUUUCACCGGUGAAGAUAAUGACGGUAACCGGAGAAGAAGCCCCGGCUAACUUCGUGCCAGCAGCCGCGGUAAUACGAAGGGGGCUAGCGUUGUUCUGAUUUACUGGGCGUAAAGCGCACGUAGGCGGACUAUUAAGUCAGGGGUGAAAUCCCGGGGCUCAACCCCGGAACUGCCUUUGAUACUGGUAGUCUUGAGUUCGAGAGAGGUGAGUGGAAUUCCGAGUGUAGAGGUGAAAUUCGUAGAUAUUCGGAGGAACACCAGUGGCGAAGGCGGCUCACUGGCUCGAUACUGACGCUGAGGUGCGAAAGCGUGGGGAGCAAACAGGAUUAGAUACCCCAGUAGUCC
rnacentral:rRNA from 1 species